CCUGCUCCCGCGUGUUCUGAAGAGUACAACACCGAAAUCAAAUUGUGAUGCACUGUUAGGCUAUCACAAACAUCACUGUUAUGUGGCGGGUUAACAAAUAUCCCUGCAUUGGUUGGAAGUUUUGAGGCGAGAAUAAACAGGGAUAAAGAUACAUACUGGAGGAAUUCAGCGGGCCAGGCAGCAAAGAGUAAACAGUUGACGUUUCGGGCCGAGACCCCUCGUCAGGACUGGAAAAAAUGAGGUCAGAGUGAAAAGAUGAGGGAAGGGAAGGAAGAAGUACACGGACAUUGAAAUGGCAACUGUAACGUGAUGAGAAGCACAGCCUCAGAGAAGAGAAGGCCAUCCCUUCAGAAUAGAGAUGAGAGGAAUUUCUGCUGGAGAAUCUGAGAAAUUCAAUGCCACAAACGGCUGUGGGAGCCAUGUCUUUGGGUAUAUUUAAAACGAUAGUUGAUAGGUAUAUAAUUAGUAAGAACACCAAAGGUUAUAAGGAGAAGGCAGGAGAAUGGAAUUGAGAAGUAUAAUAAAUCAGCCAUGUUCAAAUGGUGGAGUAAACUAGAUGGUCUCAAUGACCUAAUUCUGCUCAUCUGUCUUAUGAAGUGAACCGCCUUUGUAUAGGAAACUCAUGCUUCUUACGAUGUGGUUAUGGCAGAGUUGAAAAUGUUAAUAUCUUUGUUGAUGGUCCAGAAUUAAUUGGAAAAACCUGACUUUAACAAUGCUGCUGCUCUCUUAAGCAUUUUGCAUUUGCAGCAGCAAUGUUACACGUAUCUGAUAAACAAAAUAAAGUUCAAAAGAAGCCCUUUCAGCUGAUUGAUAGCUUCCUUUUCUGUGAUUAAUCCUCCAGAGUGGGACUUUCAGACUUAGGGGUGAGAGUGGUAGCAACUGAACCGGAGUUGACAGUAUUGUUACUUACAAUUGCAGCACCAUUAGCUGACUGGAGCAAGGUCUAACAAAAGAAUCAGGUUUUGUUACCUAAAAACUAGUCCACACAGCAGGAACAUUUGUCAUUUUACCUCUCAGUCCAUUGAUCUGUGCUUUAUUUGGAAAAGGAUCGACUCAGUAGCGGUUGCGGUGAUGCAAAGGCUCUUAGUUAAAAAGAACCAGAUUUCUGUCACUUGUAAAGAGCCUUUGAUUUACCUUUUCUCUGCCUAUUCUUGAAGUAUUUCAGAAUCCACACCAAGUGCUUUAAUUUUCUGUUUUCAGACUGUUGCAUUGGUGUGAAUUAAUUUUUUUAAUGUGCAAAUAAAUUUCUAUCAUAACAGAAAUCUAGGUUAAUGGCAUCUAAAGCCAUUUUUAAAAUCUAAAUAUAGACUUCUGUCAGUUAAAGGGUUUGUCCCAUUACUGACAGUGAUCUAUUAUACUCUGAACUAGCUUGGCAGCCAGCAAAAAUUGUUUCCUCUGAAAAAUAAAAUAUUGAACUGUGCCCCGUGACUCCCUGAAAGGUUUUGGCUGUGAAGAUCUGGGUGAUGGGAAGAAACAGUCCGGCAGGUAAGUACUCCAGGUGUGCAGGAAAGAGGUGGAUUAUCAGUCAGACUCUAAAUUUGUGACGUCUUACUCCACGUUGAAUGUUUGGAUCACAAUCUGUCCUGCAUAUUUCCCUGUUGCUUGCUUUACUAAAGAAUAUUUCUGAAUGCCGCAAUGAACUUGACAUAAAUUUAAUCAGCACAAAAUGGGGGAAUUCUACUAGGGGCUGAGUGGCUCCUGCCUUUAUCUUAUAUGUUAACUAUCACCUGUUUUAUACCAUUGCACCUUAUAGUUCUAGCCUAAAGUCUGAGCACAGGCAUCCUUCCAGAAAUCAAUAUUAUGCCUCAUGUAUAGUUUUAUCUGUGUUGUUCAUUUUGGAUUGAUUUUUAUGUAAAGGAUUAACAUUGUCACUGUGAACCAGAUUGUAUCAAGUGUAAUGGUAAGAGAGAGUACAGUUACUGAUCUGGAUACUUCAA